rnacentral:lncRNA from 1 species
GGUCUAGGUUAUAUAUCAUAUGUACUUUAGAAUAUAAAAAAAAAUAUCAAUAAACCGAAAAGAUUGUAAGUGUUUUCGUCAGGUUGUUAAAUAACGUUUCAUAAGGCGUGAAAUUGUUGUUUUGGGCAUUUUUUUAAGGCAAGGGUAUCAAAUCAUUUGAUACUUAAGUUUCGACCAUUUAUCUUUUUUUUUUCUUUCUCGUAACAUUUUUUGGAAACAAAACUGAUUUAUAACCCUCCCAGCAAACUAGAUUUUAAUGGAAAGAAACUAAAUAUUGGUUCACUACCUUUCCAGACCAUAGAUAACCGAAGUGAAGAAUAAAAAAAUAAAAAAAAGAACUGCUCCAAACCAAUUCCCACACAAGCA